rnacentral:rRNA from 1 species
GCGGGCGCGAUUCGCCUUCUUGGUCAUUUAGAGGAAGUAAAAGUCGUAACAAGGUUCCCUUCCGCGCUCAGCACGGAGACCUUGCAACCCUUAGGGGAGGCAGCACGACAGUAACAAAGCUUGCCGUUUGCAAGUCGGCCAAUCGGUCGGCAACACAAUCGAAUGACGGGGACCUCCUAAAGCCUGUAACACCAACCGUCCGGGGAAACUCGGCGGGGCCCUCACGGGGUGGUAAGAGAGUACAGGAUGGUAACAAUGGACAUCCGCAGCGAAGACCCUACCGGCUCCGGCCCACGGGUACCGUUCACAGCUAAGUGAUUGUGGGCGGGGCGAUCGCGCCCUGUCUAAGAUAUAGUCGGCUCUACCCGAAAGGAUAGAGGAUAGCAUGUCCGUAGGUGAACCUGCGGAGGAUCAUUAAAGAAUGCCCCGUUUUUUGAAAUGGGUUCUAUUCCCAAACGUGUAUACAUACCUUUGUUGCUUUGGCAGGCCGCCUUCGGGCGUCGGCUACGCUGACCGCGCCUGCCAGAGGACCCAAACUCGUUUGUUUAGUGAUGUUGAGUACUAUAUAAUAGUUAAAACUUUCAACAACGGAUCUCUUGGUUCUGCAUCGAUGAAGAACGCAGCGAAAUGCGAUAAGUAAUGUGAAUUGCAGAUUCAGUGAAUCAUCGAAUCUUUGAACGCACAUUGCGCCCCUUGGUAUUCGAGGGGCAUGCCUGUUCGAGCGUCAUUAUGACCACUCAAGCCUAGCUUGUAUUGGGGUUCGCGGUCUCGCGACCCUUAAAAUCAGUGGCGGUGCCAUCGGCUCUAAGCGUAGUAAUUUAUCUCGCUAUUGGGUCCSGUGGUUGCUUGCAACAACCCCCAACUUCUAAGGUUGACCUCGGAUCAGGUAGGGAUACCCCUGAACUUAAGCAUAUCAAUAAGCGGAGGA